rnacentral:rRNA from 1 species
GACGAACGCUGGCGGCGCGCCUAACACAUGCAAGUCGAACGAGCGAGCGAGAGCUUGCUUUCUCGAGCGAGUGGCGAACGGGUGAGUAACGCGUGAGGAACCUGCCUCAAAGAGGGGGACAACAGUUGGAAACGACUGCUAAUACCGCAUAAGCCCACGGUGCCGCAUGGCACAGAGGGAAAAGGAGCAAUCCGCUUUGAGAUGGCCUCGCGUCCGAUUAGCUAGUUGGUGAGGUAAUGGCCCACCAAGGCGACGAUCGGUAGCCGGACUGAGAGGUUGAACGGCCACAUUGGGACUGAGACACGGCCCAGAAUCCUACGGGAGGGAGCAGUGGGGAAUAUUGCACAAUGGGGGAAACCCUGAUGCAGCGACGCCGCGUGGAGGAAGAAGGUCUUCGGAUUGUAAACUCCUGUUGUAGGGGAAGAUAAUGACGGUACCCAACAAGGAAGUGACGGCUAACUACGUA